GCUGGCGGCGUGCUUAACACAUGCAAGUCGAACGUGAAGCUUUAUUUCUUCGGAUAUGAAGCGGAAAGUGGCGGACGGGUGAGUAACGCGUUGGUGACCUACCUUGAGGAGGGGGAUAACCACUGGGAAACCAUGGCUAAUACCCCGGAUGUCUAGGUGCCUAGAAAGCCUAGACUAAAGCUCCGGCGCCUCGAGAUGGGCCUGCGUGCUAUCAUGCUUGUUGGUGGGGUAAUGGCCUACCAAGGCUAAGACGGCUAGGGGGCGUGAGAGCGUGGCCCCCCACAAUGGAACUGAGACACGGUCCAUACUCCUACGGGAGGCAGCAGUGAGGAAUAUUGCGCAAUGGGGGAAACCCUGACGCAGCAACGCCGCGUGGAUGAUGAAGGCCCUCGGGUUGUAAAGUCCUUUUCUGAGGGAAGAUA
rnacentral:rRNA from 1 species